GUCACCCCCCUUGUCACCCCGCCGGGCUGCCGGGCUGACCCAAAGCUCCUUUUCUGAACUCGGCAGGGCCACACGGGCCGGUACCGGCUGCCUCAGCCUGAGUAAGCCCUGCCAGGAGCACCGCUCUCUGCCCUCCCCUGGUGAGGCGGUUAAAUGGGAGCGAGACCGUCCUGGGUGAAAGGACCCUCUGAAACAUUUAGUGACUCAACUCUGUACGUAUGUACGGCACACAAGGUAAAUGAGGCAUGGAAAACUGUCUGAGGGCCCACCACCCAUCAGCAACAAAACGGAGGUUAGGACUGUGGCUUUGCACAUCCAGGGGAGAACCCCGGUGUGAUCAAUGCUCUUCCUGCUCUGUAAAGCGAGGCCAUUUGUAAAGCGGACGUAUCACAGACAGAUGGAUAGACAGACAUCCUCAUGGAAUGAUGUGGAAGACAGCAAAAUUGCUCAGUGCUUCCUGUUUAUUCUUCAAAAGGCUCAGGCGACAGAGAAAAAGACAGACGGAAAGGACCAUCAGAAAGGCUGUCAGCAGCAGAACUUCAGAGGAGCAGCCAGGCAGCACUCGCAGAAGAAGCCUGACCCCCGAUGGCACCUCUGAGUUUCAGGGGGGAAGAAGGGAGCUCUGCAGAGACCUCUAGAAAGGUGGCAUCGGUCCUGCUGCUACUGCUGAGCCUUCAAGGUGUGCAGCACAUUCCUCUCUGCCAGUAUCAACUUGUUGGAACUGAUACCAAACAAAGUGAGUUUGAAUCAAAAAUAAUUCCUUCAGAAGGAGCUGUUUCACAUCCACCCCUUUUUUCUUUCUCUCAGUCUUCCUACAGCAGCUGCAGGCAAUGCAGUUGUUGGUAUUGCUGCCAAAAGUCACUUGGGAGCCUGAUCACUGAUUUGGAAAAAUGAUGUUGUUCAACUGUAAGAUGUCAAACACCCAUCACCAAGCUGUGGCUUGUCUGCAGUGAUCAGCACUGUCACUUGGAGCAUCAUUCAUGCUGGCCAUGGUGUUUAAAUGGUAUCAUUGAAUUAAAAAGAAGGGUAAUGGGAUGACAAUGAAGGAAUUGCUCUUUAUAAAUUUGUCCACUCAUUCCAAGAUUUUGGAAUAUGGAAAAGUUGCCUAUAGUAUUGACUUAACUAAUAGUAAGACAAUUCCUCCUAUGAGGAAUCAAUCAUUUCUAUAGUAAUUUAGAGAAGCUGGAUGUAUGGAAUCAACUGCAAGUUAACAACAGCUUGUUGCAAAAGAAGGUCUUUCAAACAGGCAGCCUCUCCAAACCAGGUUCUUUCUGGGUGCUGAUGAGAGCAGGGAGACUGCCCUUCAACAUGUGGGAGGUAUCUCUGAAAGCUGGACUGCUAAAUAAAAAAGUGCAUGAAACUUCUGUCUCAUAGAAUCAUAGAAUCCUAGGAUGUCCUGAGUUGGAAGGGAUCCACAAGAAUCACUGAGUCCAACUCCUGUUCCUGCACAUGACAACCCCACAGUUCACACCGUGUGUCUGAGGGUGUUGUCCAGUCUCUUUGAACACUGUCAGGCUUGGGGCCGUGACACCUCCCUGGGGAGCCUGUUCCAGUGCUCCACCACCCUCUGGGGGAAGAACCUUUUCCUGAUGUCCAACCUAAACCUCGCCUGGCACAUCUUCCUGCCAUUCCCUCAGGUUCUGUCAUUGGUCCCUAAAGAGUUCAGCACCUAUCUAGCCGAUGAUACUUAUUUUCUUUGAAGCUUCCUUGCUUAUCUUGUUUUAUUCUCCCUUUAAAAAUGCAGUAAAACAGCGAAAUAUGAAGUUUGACUUUGAAUUCCACUUGCCACACUGUGUUUGAGUUCUGUGCCAGCUGUCUACCACACACAGGUGAAAGUGACUUCAGUGAUGAUUCUUUAUCAGUACUGUGUUAUACCCACUUUAUAGCUAUAUAUACUAUUUCUAAGUAUCUUACUCAGAAGCAACACUGACCUUUUGCAGCCUAUUAACAUGGGAAACCAUUAUGGUUAGUCUUUCCUUCCUUCAUAUGCUACAGGACAAAUAUACUUCAAGUGACUUUUAACAUCUCAUCAACUUCUUGUUUAUUCAUUUGUUUAGUUUAUUUGUAUGAAGAGUGCUUGUUUUUCAUGUGUAAUAAAACUGUCUCAGGUUUGAUCAUCAUGUCAAAAAGUCAAGAGCUCCAGAGAUACAAUAGUGGUAGCAGAUGCAUUUUUUGAUUGUCAGUAAUUUAAAAGAUAAAUUGAUGAGAUGGUAUAUCAGCCCAUAUCCCUGUGUUUCCCUGUAAUGCUUUACGGCAACAUGGAGUCUUCCUCAUAAGUCACAGUAUAGAAGACAUGUGGGCACAAAUAAUUUAGGAUUCUAUUAACUUUUCUCACCAAGACAUAAUGUGCUGCAAAUAUUAAUUAGGUGUCACUGUACCCCUUUAGGAUGUCUCAGUACUAUGAAAUCAGUUCCAAUGUACCAUAAGAGAUGUUUAUAACAGAGUAACUUCAGCCACUAUUGGUUCAAUAUUUUACUGUAAUCAUCAGGUAGCACUUCCUCUCUGAAGUAUUCGUGCAAUUACAUGCAUCUACUUACAGUAAUGCUCGUACAUCUUGGCAAAAACAGACUCUGAGAUUAAAACUGCAUAGUUAACCUUGAGUACUUAAGGCAGACAUCCUCCUUAUUUUCAAAUCUGUGAGUUUCUCCCAUUUACUGGCAGGUUCUUACAAAUAUAUUUUACUGACCAUGUUACAAUGCAUAUUCAGGGUCCUUUUAAAAUGCACAUUACUGACAAUCUAAUUCGGUAUCUUGUAUGCUUUAUUACAUACAUUUAUCUUUUUCAGGAGUUAGGGAGGAUGUCUGUGCUUCGUUGCUGAAUAUAAUGUUCUUUUGGAGCUGACACAGGUUUUUAUUUGCAACUAAUUAGAGGUGCUGAACUGCCAUAUUGGUCAUACAGUUCAUGUGUAAACAUGUACCAAGGACAUGUGUGUCAAUUCAUGUUGGUACUAAAAGCUGUAUUUUCCUGGUGACAGAAGCAUCUUGUCAUCUUCAAUAGAUGCCUUAUUGUGCCUUACUAUCUUAUGAGCUAAAAACUUCAUGUUUUUUGCUGAAGACAUGUCUGAGUUAGAGCUUGAACUUAGUGAAACUUGGGUCAAAUGAAAAAAUCUCCCACUAACUUGAAUGUUCAAGGUUAUUAUGUCCUACAAUGGCAAACUCCUAUUUCAAGAAAAUGACUGCUUUUUUUCCCAGUAUAAAAUAAGCUCAUUGAUCUCAAUAUAGAUACACAUCCUGAGAAUGUAUUUGAUUUGAAAAUCACUUAAUGUUGGGAAAUUCUCAGUAUUCUCUCUUCUGUGACAUUGCAAUAUUUGAUCUAUAUUCAAAGUUUAAUAUUUUUAAUGAGGAUCUAGUUUCACCAGGAUGCAUCCUAAUCCAGAUAUGAGAUGGAACAUACUGCUGGGAAGAGCUAGUAAGAACACAGAGAUGUGAACGGUGCUGCCUCAUAACUGUAGGUGGUUAUCCUGAAGGAACAGCAACUUCCAGUGUAUUUGAGAUGCAACCUGCAACACGAUGCGUUUGACUUCACCCAUUUAUUAAAAGUUGUGGGGAGGAGGUUUCCUAUUCUUUUCACAUUCAAACCUUUGCAAUUACUUGGUGCCAGGUCUGACCUAUGGUCAGCAGCUCUAGUUGCAUUUGGCUGUCCAUCUGGAAUGGCUGUGUUUAUCUUAGCCUCUUUGUAGCAAAUAACUUUGGAGGACAGCAGGUACCAAACCUCACUCUCCCUCCCACCAAAUAUUGUCUUCCUACAAGAGGACUUGAUGACUUACAUCCGGAAGACCCAAGUACAUAGGAAGUUAAAGCUGCAUUCACACAGAUUUUUUCUGUCAUUUUCUGCCUGCCUUAGGAACAGAGGCUGAGGUAUCACCUAGUUUCCUUCCAUUUUGUAGUGUAAAAGGGGACUGUGUAAGGACUAAGACAUCUUGCAUCUCUCUGUUUCCUUUCAUGGAAAUCAAGACACAACAGUUGAUUACUUCCUGUAGUAGACGCCUUUCUAAUACAGAAGUAUUUUCUCACCAAGACACAGAAUUGGACUUUUUCCUGACUAUUUUUCUAAUCUUAUUGAUACGAACUCCUACAUAACAUGAACUUUACACAAUAGAAUCAACAAGACAGGGACAGACAGGAGGCUAGUUUUGUUUCUUCAGCUGCUAAUAUGCUGCUGUUAUCACUUAUCAAUUGUGUUUUCAUUUCUUGGUGCCACUGUAGUUUGGAAAGUCACCCCUAAGAUGCUUAUAUACACCAAGACAUAUGGAAUGCCUGAAAAACGUAGGGCAAGAAAUGAGGAGCUUUAACUUCUCUUUCUUGGAGCAGAGUUUUGAAAACAAGGUAGGAAAGAGAUGAGAGGGCAGAUGAUCACAGGCUGGGUUGCUAAAGAGAACUAGCAACAGAGGUGGCUAAAUCAUCUUUAGUGAAGGAUGCUUUCACAUCUCACUGGAAAGUUUCCUGGAGAACUGUACUUCACUAAAUUUAUAACAAAAACUACACAAGUAAAUAACAGUCCUACACCUUACAUUCUGUGUCAGGUAGAGUUUUACAUCACAUGGUCUAAAGGAGGUGUUUUUGCAAAUAACUUUUUAUAUAAUUAAGUAGAAUUUGGUAAUCCAAUGCAAAACACUAAAUACUGCUUUUACCUGAAUUUACUCACUGUGAACGAACUCUGUUUUCAGAUAUAGUUUGGGCACAAGAUGGAGCGUCUGAUUCCUUCAAAAAGAAUUUUAAAAUUCUCAAGGAAUCUGCAUUCAGAUAUACACUUUCUUGUUUUUUUGGGUCCUUCAGAUCUGGCAUUGCUUCAAGUUGUUUUCUUAAACCUGGAGGACAGCAUUUUCUGCAGUCUCUCUGCUUCUAAAUGGUUAUCAGCCAACAUUUUCUGAACUAGAAUGACCUUUUCUAUUGGUAUUGAGGCACAUAAAGUGGAUAAUCAUAGCAGAGGGAGACAGAAAAAAUCUAUUUGCUGAGCAAGUCCAUUCUCCUUUAUGGACGGACUGCAGUCCCAGUGAUGGAUGUAUCAGAUUAAAUUGUCACUACAAUUUGAUUUUGCCAGGCAUCUGCAAAAAUGAUUUAUUUAUAUAAGGAAAAGCUUCAAGUGUAGAAAAGGGAAUAAUGUCUCUCUCUCAAAAAAUCAGCUCUCUUAAAAUUGUUUUUUCUUGUGGAUAUUUUAAUUAUUCUCUGAAACAGUUAAAAACUUUAAUGAUUAGUGCAACUGCAGAGGUUCAGUGUCUCUGUUGUAUCCACCAUAAUAAAUACCCAUCAACAGCAGGAAGACAAAAUAAGAGAUAGAAAUGACAGUUACUCAGGGCAUAGAAUCCAGUAGCACCACAUCAUUUUUCUAGGUUGGUUGAUCACUUUUCACUCUGAGGGAAGAGAAAAAUUUCAACCUCUUAAAUUUGAAUUAUGUUUCUAGGAAAAGCUAAAGCCCAUUUAAUCUGUGAAUUCAUUACCAGAGCCAUAAAGGUUGAUCAACGCAUAGAAAAGGACAUUUGAGACAGAGUGGAAAAGCAUACCACUGUCUCCUUGGCAUGUUACCACAGAUCAAACAGGACCAAAUCAGUCCAAACAAUAGGAGUAUACAGGCAAAAGCUUGCCCAAGCCAUCACAUGGGUAAUAAUGUUAACUGCCAGGAAAUAAGUGAUUUGCACUAUGUGACGGCUGCAUCAACUGGCGAACUACCUGCUGUUACGUCAUGCAAGAAAGGUAUUUAUUGAAUUUUCCCUCUCUGAUUUCAAAGAUCAUGCACUAAAAUAUUCUGUAUGUUUUGCACGUAAGAACUCUUGUGAUAAAGUAUCCUAUCCACUGUGCUGUAAGAACUGAUAUUUUGCCAGUAUCCAAAUAACGGCUCUUAUUGAUUGUAGAUUUGUCUCAAACAGAUUUGCACUGCUAUUCCUUUGAGACCACUGCUUUUAACUGCACAGAGCCAUCAUGUGAAUAUAGAGGUGGGAAUCACUCUUCAGCUCCAGUCUCAGCAUUAACUGUAAACUUCAGCACUUUAUUUUUAGUCAAACCCUGAAGAACUCACUGAAGAAAACAAGUAUUCCACAAACUUAAUACAAGUAUGAUAGGACUUUUGAACUGCUGGAGUAGCGUUAGUAGAAUUCAAGGAGUGUUAGUGGGUUCUGCAGAAAAAGACCAGGAUCAAAGACAAAUUAAAAAAAAGUUGAUUCAAUAAGGGAUUCUGCAAUGCAAUCUGAAAAUACUUCAGUAAGUCAAGAGAUUGCAUGUAUUCUUCUUCUCUUCCUUCCAUGCAGCUAUAGAGGUUUGUUAAAAAUUCAGUGCUUAUGAAAAGUACUAUGGUAUAUCUGUUCACCAAAGUGACUAGAGCAUCCUUUUAAAAAUCCAAUUUUAUGGAGAAGUCAGGAGGAGAGCUGAUGACCCUAUUGCCUGUUUCUUUGUGUGCCUUAGCCACUGCGUUAUUGUGCCUCCUGAAAUUCCCUCUAAAAUUUCAACAUCAAAAUGUAAAGUUCAAAUGUAAAAUUGCUUCCCUGGAUACUUUUAUCCACAAAACAUAAACAUGAUGUAUUUAGAAAUUUAAUUUAAUACAUGAAGUUCAUACAAGCAGUUAUCUCUCCAAUACCAUAGGAAAAAGGUCUGAAAAAAUUAGAGAUCAGCCCUCACUCAUCUUGAUUGCCCAGAGGGAGUGGAGAAGGAGGGAGGGAAGCUAUCAGCUUGAGUUCCCAGGAGGUCACUCUCAUUGCUGUGGAGGCUGGGCAGGUGACAGCCAUCUGACAGCCACCUUCAGCCUUCCUCUAAGGAAUCAGCUGAUUGGCUGCCAACGGUUUCAUUUUCAUUGCAAAGGUAAAAUGAGCACUGGUCUUAAAAGUAAUCUGGAUCCUUGGAUUAGUCUGGGAGAAGAAUAGCUGAAAAAGACUGUUGUGACACGACGAUUUCAGGUGAGAAGAGCAUCUGAAGGCAUUUGGGUGCCCUCUGAACCAAAGACUGAAAUUCAGAAGGGGUAAGAGACUGGGGAGAUACAAAAGCCUAAGCAGCCAUGAGGGGAAGUAGGGAAGUAGAAAAGUGCAACUGGAACUAUUAAUUGAGUUAGAGAGCAUUCUUCUGUUAACUGGGUGUUGAGAAGGGGAACUCCACUACUGCUGAAGCAGGCGCGUGUGUAUCUUGUAUAAGAACCUCACACUGGCAUCACACUUUGAUCUGGUGUGACCCUAUCUGCCUUUUUAAAAUAACUGUUAUGCAAGGCAGUGUCCACCCCAGGGUUACUUUCUGUUUCCCUUCCCAAAUGAAGCCAGUGCUGGUCAGGAACAAAAGAAUUGGUUCAUGACAUGAACUAGAACCUAGGAUUCCUUCAACAAAUUCUUGGGACAUCCCACCCCCAAAAAAUUGUAUUCCAAAACCAAAAUGCAGACAAAUGGCAAGAGACAGGUUUUAGAUAACCUUGGUGGAAGUUACAAUAAAGCUGAUCAAAAUAAAUACAUGCCUUCGCAACUACGAUUUUGGAAAAAUUAGUUAUUUUCAUUUUCUCUUUCCCUCACUCUCUCCAAGACUUGAAUCAUCAUAAUGAUGACUGGAACAGAAAAGGAGCUCUUUUUUCUUUUUAAAUUUUACGGCAGUCACUUAAAUUGCCAUAAUGAUGUUGCAGAAAGAUUACCUAGUUGAUUUUAAGAUUUAUGGCCUACGAUAACAAUGUCAAAGCACUUCUUAUAGUAAAAACUGUAAACAGACUUAAAACAUACAUGACAAAGAAAAACUGGGGACAUAAUUUUCAGAGUUGGUAUUUCUUUAGUUUCUACUUCAUUCUCAGCUCCUAUUUCAAUAGUUUAUCUCAAGUGUUAUGCAGUCCACAAUUUCUGCUUUCUGACAGAGGAUUUUUUCAAGUCACUUAAUAAUGAAAUAGAUAUAAAUUUAAGAUACAUCAUCCUAAUUUAAUUAGUUGCUUUGCCAAGGGACUAUUGGUACAAUCAGAGAAAAUUACAGCCCUGCUCUGCUCGAUAGCACCAGGCUGAAAGACUGUCCUGCUCGCAGCAGCACCUGGUGCCGACACCCCCGUCUCAAAGGCGCUGAACAAGCAGCCUCCAGGCAAGGGCACUCAGCCUCCCCGUGCCCCCAGCACAUCUCCCGUGACCACUGGCAUAUCUCAGCCAGCAUACCAUACCAGAGUGGUAUUGGAAGGGCAUAAUUUUUGGAGAAUCUGUUUUAUAUUUGACUCCCUUGCCUGUGCCUCUGCUUGCCCCUGCUCCAGAAAGGCAGGACGAGUGGACUCUUCUGGGAAGAGCUGGGUCUCUGUUCUCCAGCCCUCUGGGCUUUGAGGAGUGUUUGAGGUCUGAGGGCAGGCUCUAGCCUGGGCUAUCUUUUUUAAGGGAAAAUCAAAGCAUUAGAAAUAAUUUAAACAAAUCACUCAUCAUGCCAAAUACUGUAUUGAAGAAAGGUAAACUGUGGAAGGAUUUAUCUUUUUGGUAUGAUAGUGGUGCAGCUUUCUAUACACUUGCAAAGAGCUGUGCAAGACAACUAUUUAACCUUCCAAAGUGAAUGGUAGGAGCAGAAGGUGAUAGGGUAAUUCCAGUAACUUGCGACUUCACCAAGUACCUUCACAUUAGCAAUCCAUCUGGCUUUGCAGUUCUCUUACAAAGAGCUUUGUUUACUGCAUCAUAUACCAACCGAAAUGUUGCACAUUCAUUACACAUGCACAUAUAAACCACGGAAUAAAGCUGGUGUGAAUGAAUACACUGAAAAUUUUCUUGAACAAGGAAAUCUUCAGUGAUGCUCUCUCCUUCUGUUCUUUUUUUCAGUCCAUUUUAAUACAGACUUUUAUAAGGCCUUUUUAACAGACAUGUAAAAAUUUAGGUGUCCUUGAAACAUAGCUUAAAAAAUGGGUAACGUGAUGAGACCAGGAUAAAGAGUAUCCAUAAAUAAAACAGCAGUGGAGUGAAUACACAUUAGGAGAAACAGUAUGCUCACACACGAUUUCUGGACACUCUUCCCAUCGCAUCUGGUCACGUUUCCAGAGAUAGGAAGAGCCAGGUACAGCUGUGAACUCUCUGGAUCACACAUGUGAUGAAAAUUUUGAAAAAUUUCACUAAAAUUACACAAAUGAUUACUGAAUAUUUUAGUUUGAUCACGGUUAAGCACAACAACAUAACUAGUACUAGAUGUUAACCCGCAUCAGCUUCUUUUCAAAUAUUGCAGCACCCAUGAGGUCCUGGUCCUAAACUUUAGAGCUCUGCUAGAUGUGACAGACCCAUGCCAAGGAGCAUGGCUUCUCCUUUGACUACAGGUCCCACCAGCAGUCCCUGUCCUUUGCAAAGCUGAUCUCCCAAUGGACAAAACUGAGUUAAAAUGAAGCCAUAGGGCUGCCAUGGCCCUGAGUGCAUCCCCUUGCAGGGGUUCCGCUGCCUGUGCUGGAGGCCCGUUCUGACACCGCGUUCUUGGUGACCUGGACCAGGCUGCUGUGAAGAACUGUGAGACACCUCGCCCAGGGCCUCUGGUCCUUGGCUUGGAGACUGUGCCUAACUUUAAACCCUUGCCUAAGCCGCUGGUCUUCCUGUGCCAGCCUUUUUUCCUUCCCCAUGCUGACCAUGUUGUGGAAUUCCUGACUCAAUGUUUGACCUGCCUUGUUCCUACAGACUCACCCGGCAGUCAUCAGACUGUCACCGACCCAGGCUGCCACCCCUGGGCCUGCCCCCUCUCCUGGCUGGGGUCCUGCCAGACUGUCCACUGCUCCCUGUGGCCACUGCCCCCGGCUCGCUGGCCCUCGCAGGGCAGCCCAGCCCUUGCUGCUCCCUGAUAGACGCAGCUUGUACACAGCCACCUUCCAGAAAGCUCCCUGUCUGGGAAUACAGCCAACACUAAUGCUAAACACAAGAUGUAUUCUCCCUUGCAUGCUCCUAACUGCACAUGCACUUGCUCCCCUGGGCUGGGGUAAGUCCCAGAAAUAGCCAAUGGGGAAAAGUAAUCAAGGUACGUGGAAGAAUAAGGAGUGGUAUUGUAAAGCUAUGGUGGGAUAAAGAUGAGAUACCACAUCUUUUUAUAGAGCCCUGGUACUGCUGGAGAGCAUAAACAAGUGCUUUAACACACGGACUUUCUUCAGUCCUAGAACAGAGUCACUAAACCUCAGGCAAAAUACAGGUAGGGAACUACUUGGGGUUUAAACCUUUUAAAAAAGUUGAGGGAAAAGGGAGAUUGGCACCUGCGAGGCACAGAUUCCUGACAGCAAGGAGGGCAGCAGAGAAACUGUCAGGGCUGUAUGAUGCAGAGAGUCAGCAGCUCUGGAACAACAGCAGGCAGGGAUGGUAUGGCAAAAUAUUAUCUGUACUGAAUUUAUGAUUUUUAAUAUGUGGUGAAAUUAUGUUUUUCUCUUCCUAGACUCAUCUCUGGAAAGCAGCCCAGGAUGAGACUGAGAAGCAAGAGCUGUUUCUGCUUCAGAACUGAAGAAUUUGUGACCUAAAGGCUUGUCUUUCCUCUUCAUCCCCCCAACAGCAUCAAUUAGAAUGAUAAGAGAUCACUCCCUCCCACAACCUUGUUUCUGAGAGUAUAAAGAUGUAUAUAAGUUACAGUUCAAAAAACAUCUCUGAUUCUGAACAGACUAUAAGUAGCAGAAGGAUGUACACAUCCACCUGCUAAAAAUAAUUCAAGCUUCUGCAAACUGCUUAGAUAGCUGAACUACUAAGCAAAGAAUGGGCAAGAGUGGGAAUUAAAAAUUAACCUACCAAUCUAGAAAUGGAUGGUCUGCAGGAGAGAAAGGUCCAUUUGCCUCUGAUUACAGAGUGUACCUGGCCCUGUCACCCAGCUGAGUGGCAGCUACUUUGAAAUCAGUUCAUUGUCUUCUUGCAGUCUGGGGCUCCUGUAAAUGAUGCUUGGUGGCAUUCUCUGCAGAGAGACUAAAGACUGAUGGGAUGGUGGAGUCUGAGACUGUGUUGACUCUGCAGCCAGAGGAAGCCUGCCUGUCUGCUUGUGAUAUUACUCUUCUUCCAUUAAGCAAGUGGUUCUAGCAUCCAGGCUAGCCAGCCUAGCAGCUUUCCGGGGCACUAGGUUAAAAAUACUUCAAAACUUGAGAAAACACAGGCUCUUUCUUUUACAAAAUUUCUCAUUUAAAGGUAAUUCAUCAGGAGAGUGGAAAUGUCACCUGAACCUUGCUGAGGAAUAUGAGAUCAGCACUAAUAUAUAUCAGUAUAGCUUACUUUCCUGAUUCAUAAUGCCUGUGUCAGGUUGCAAAUACCCUGGCUGAUGGCAGUUUGCCUGACAUAAUUAUCUAGUACUUGAAUCAGUGCCCAGCUCUGCAGAAUGUAAGAUUUCCAUUUAAAAGUAAUAGUGAGUUUUGAACCCUGAGGCUUGUUCAGAGAUCUCACAUCAUCAUUGGGGUGCAUAGGUGUUUAAAUAUGGUUGGAUAUGUGCCCUGAGAACACAGUCCUAAUGGUGAUGGUGAGUGAGCAGCACUAUUUCUAGCCCAUCACAGUCAGCAGGGGCAGUUUCCUGAAGGGUCUCAUCAUUCAUAUGCUGAUGCUUCACUUGUACUGGUGCCAGUGAGCCUUAGAUGCUAGGGCUGAGUCCUGCACCUCUUGGGAGUCACCUGCAUGUUCUCUGCAAAUAUACCUGGCUUUUUUUUUUUUAAUCUGAAAUAUUGGUCAGUUUGGGGUGAAAAACAUUUUAACCAAUUUAAAUUCUUCCUCCUGCUUUUUGACAAAUUCAUACACCAGUGCUUCGCAGGAGUUACACAACUGGAUAAAUACUUUGCCAGAAUUUUCAAGCAGCUUUGAAGAGGACUAGUACUAUCUGUAGUGCUAAUGCUAAUUUAAGCAAACAAAACCGAAAGUAUUUAUUAAUAUUGUGGGAAAAUCUUGGAUAAGCCUAAAGUAGUUAAUUCAUUUUACAGCCCAGAAUCUAAGGCACUAAUCAAAAGUAUAAGUCUUUAUUAUUUGAUUUAAGGUAUUUGGCAGACAAGAUCUGAAUCUAAAAAGUAAACAUCAUUCCUAAUUUCUCUGUCUCUAUACAUAUGCUGUUUAAUUAUUCAAUACAGCAUUCAUACAGUGAACUCUAUCUGAGAAUAUCAAUAAAUAUGCAUGCAAUUGGUGUGAAAAGAAACCUUUUCUGUUGUUUACUGCAUUAAAAAUAGUAGCAUUUAACUGCAGCAGAAGAAAUAUGUCUUGCAAAUGUUAUAACUCCUACAUACUUUGAGUUUCCAUAUUGCACUGUUUCAAGCAGCAAAAAAUACUCUUAUAUAACUUCAGAAGUAUAACAAAGAGCCAACAUAAACUUGUCCCUUUAAGGGGGAGACAACAAAAAGCCCUUUAUGUAUUGUCACUUACUGGAAGCCUUGGGAGAAUUAACAAAAAUAACUCAUACUUUAUUCCUUGACUGACAAAGCAGCUGAGGAAAUACUCAUUUCCUUUCCCACUAUUAAAGGCUACCAUGUUUCUGCCUAUUAGAGAAAAACUAUCAGAUGUAAAAGCAAAUACAAAACCUGUUUGGUCUUCCUUAACCAUGGUAUUAAUAGAUUCUUGGAAUAUAUUCAGAUAUCUGCUUGGUAAAAAGCUUCUAGCAGAGAAAGCAGCUCCUGCCCUUCAGCUGAGGUGGAGUAAAUGACCAUAGGAAAGGCCUUCGCUGAUUUUAGUGCUUCAAAUUUUUUUCUGGGCAACAUCUGAAAAGAUAUGGGUAUAUUAAAAAUUUCCAGGUGAUUAAUGGAGCCUACUUGGCUUACAACUUUAAAAUGACGGUGAUUCUCAGUAGGUUUCUGGUCUCCUUCCUUUCUGGGAGCUGGGUGAGGUGCCAUACGUUCCUUUCGCUGUCUCUGGCUGGAGAUUACCUUAUCUCUCAUCACUGAUAUCUGUGAGACUUAUUUCCAUUUUUGUCUUUUUUUCAAAGAGGCAUUAAUUCCUAGGUACUCACUACCUUUGUUAUUUGAUUUUUUUUUAAUUUUUUAUAGGUUUGCACAUCCCAUCUUUUAUUCCGCCUUCAGCUUCUUCCAUUACAAGUAUUCUAGUUCAGAGUUUUCUGUCAAAAACCUCCACAGGUUACCAACACAAUCAAUUAUUAGAAUGGUUUGCACUACUAAAUAACAAGAUAUGGCAUCAGUGAAACUGAAUCCAACACUGUUUCACUACAAUCCCUUUCAGUAUGAAUGGUAUUACAUUAAAAUUACUUUCAGCUAUCCCACUGAAUUAAGGGAAAAAGACAACCAACUUCAUUAUGACUUGCUCAAACCUGUGCCACACAAACUGCAACCUAGAAUAUUUAUCUAAACAAGUCUGACUUUGUCAAUCAGCUGCUUAGCUGCAAUCCUCCUUUAGCAUAUCUGUUCCAGCAAAUUGAGAAUAUUAAAUUACAUAUUUUUGCCAUCAACAUACAUAAGUCUAUGAAAUAUCUUACCCAUGCCCUUUUUUUGUCACCUGAAUAUACUCUUUUGUCCCUAUUGAAGUUGUGUCUGUGGCAUAUUGCAAGCCUGAUAUCACAGAAACUACAAGGCCAAUAUAAAAUUUUAUGAAUUCUUUUGUUUGCUUUUUAAAUCCACACAUAGCCUAUAAUUUUUGGUACAUUUUUCUCAAACAUCUUAAGGGUCAGCACUCUGCUGUCUUUUAAAACAAAGUUGACGUAGGGGUGGGAUCUUGCUUCAGAAUCGGUAAGUAGAGCCGGGCACCUCCUGUCCCAACUUGUGGUAAUGGCUUUAACAUUGCAGGCUCUGCUCUUCAGGUAUAUUUUUAGCAAUCAGAAGCCCAUAUUUUGUUCAUUCACUCACAGAAUCAAAAGCUUAAUUGCUUUUCUUCGUUUUCUGUAUGUUAGGUAUUGCCCUUGUUUGUGCCAGUGUUGUUAGAACCACCUGCAGGUCUUCCUGUAUUUUGGGCUCUGUCAUCUUUCUCCCCUCAGGGCUGUGCUGGUUCUCAGUCCCACAUGGAACAUCAGGGUGUUUUCCACACUCUAAAUUUUUCUUCCUAGAUGGGACCACUUCAGCUGUUCCAGCAUGUAAGCAGGCUAGCCAAGACUUUGGACUACUGAAAGACUGGGAAUGAAGCUUUUUUCACGUUCCCAGCCACAACCCAAUGCACUGUAGGAAACCAGACUAACUUCCUAAAGGUGCACAGUUUGACAGAUUGCAUAUUCCCUUGUAGUUCCACUUUCCUUUGGUUAAAAGACAUUGGACUUAUAUAUUUAAAAUAUAUAUGUAGUGCAUUGCUCAAGUCUUCGUAACAGAAUUUUAAGUAAACAGUAUCUGAUGUGCAUGAUGUAUUAACAAGUUUUUAGUCACUAUAGGAAAUGAGGUGAUAUUCCAAGAGCAUUUUCUUUUUUCACUGACACUGCAGAUUCAGAUGAAAGCUCUGCUUAAAUAUCUUCCUAUUGUCUUCUGUGUUUUUGGAGAUUCAGUUGUCCCAGAGCUUCCAGCUGCCCUUUUCUUCCCAUCAAAUACUAUUCUUGCCUUUUGAUUGUUACCCCGGACCCUGCACAUCCCAGAGCAGCUGUGCCUGCUCCCCUUGCUUGUAGCACCCUCUCCCCAUACAGCUCUCUCUGGUGCCACUCAAAGAUCACAUCCCAGAACUACAGCACUUCAGCUGAUGCUGUGUGUGCGUGGUAUGACCUAUAUUAGUGAGUACUUUCACACAGAGCUAUGCCACGUGUUGGUGUAACAACUGGCAAGACCAAGCUGUGCCUACGCUAGGACUUGUUUACCAACAGUGAUAAAACUGCAUUUUACUGGCACUGGUUUCUGCUGCUAUAACUGGUUUUGUAGGUGCAAUCAUACUGGCCAGAGUAUCGGGUCAGAGCUCUGACUUUGCUGUAUUUGCAGAGGGCACAUUACAGGCUGUAACGGCAAAACCUGCUUAAACCAGGGUACCUGACUUCCAUGCAUGGUUGAGUCUACUAUCGGUAAUGGCUGAAACAAAAUUAGGAGUGCUUUCUCGGCAUGUUAUACCUAGGGGGAUAUACUAAAUGUAGGGCUUUUGUGGGUACAGCAUCUGUGAAUAAUGACGUCUGCUGGGGAUGUUUUGUCUAUUUUAAUGAUAUGCCAGUAAAACUUAAAAAUAGGUUGUGUCUAAAUUACCCAAUUUCUGUUUCUUGUCUAUUAAAAGCAUAGUUUUGAUGAGUUUGGGUUUCUGUUAUUCAUGGAUUAAUUAGAUUUUUAAAGAAAUCAUAAAAAUGCAUUAGAAAAUAAUGUUGUUUACGUUGAAACAUUUAAAGCCUCCUUUUCUUCAACUACACAAAUGGUGUGAGAUGCAAAACAAUUGUUAGAGGUCUUUAAAAGACUAAAAUCUAAAUAUUUGAGUCAACAAAUGUUUUUGGUUUAAUACUGUGAACAUUUGAGGAGAUUAUUAUUGUAUAUUUUAGCUUUUCUUACAGAUAGGAGAGAAAUUAUUUAGAGCAUUUAGAAAUUUUAAAGCAUCUCAUUGUUCUCAGGAAGAGAGAGUUUUCUUUAGAUUUGAUUUCUAUUUUUAAUGCCUUAACUGGUAUUUUAAUCUUUCUAGAAUGGAGUCUACUCAUUUGUUACUGGAUUUUUGUUUCAGACAUUUUUCCAUAGCUUGUCUUGGUACUAGGAAGCUUUGUGAGCUUUAAUUGAUAGAUAGGAAAGGAUGGCAACUUCUGAACAUUCCUCUUCAGGUGGAUCAUCAUGUUUCAGCACUUUGAGUAGAGGGAAUUAGAGCAACAGGCUAUGCUGACAGUACUUUUGCUUUGCCCUGUCACUCUGGAAAUUAAUGGUGAUUAUGGCAAGCACUCCCAACAAAAGAAACACUCGAGACUUCCUGAUGCUAAGCCCAUGCUGCCAGGGCUCUGAGCACACCAACUGUAUUUGCAAACCUCCUUCCCCACUCCUAGGGGUUUCACUGUUUGUACUCCAGGCUAGAUUGGACUUGGGGCUGCUCUCCAACCUCGGACCAGGGAGCUGUGAAAACAGCUGAGUGGCAAGAAAGAGCUAUGAGAAGCCUUGCCUGGGUCCUCUGCUGUGUUCAAGCUCAGGUCCUUGCACGUGGUCCUUGCCUGAGCUACGCUGUAGCUAUGCUUGGUGCUUGCCUGAGCAAGCUGUAGUAGUGCCCUGUCUUGCACCCUGCUGAUCCUCACCUUGCGGACAGAGCCUCCCAGCUGCAGCCUGGACCUGCCCCGUCCCUACAGACUCUCCUGGCAAUCGUUGGACUGUCACUGACCCAGGCUGCCACCCCUGGGCCUUUCCCCCUCUCCUGGCUGGGGUCCUGCCAGACUGUCCCCUGCUCUGUGCAGCCACUGCCCCUGCUGCCUCGCUGGCCCCAGCGGCUCCUGGCUCACUGGCCCUCGCAGGGCAGCCCAGCCCUCACUGCUCCCUGAAUGGCUUGCUCAAGCAGGAGCUCUUCAUUAAACAGCUUUCUUCCUCCAGGAUGACCUAGGUUGAGGAGCUCUGCCAGUCCUACAAAAGCAGAGCAAGCUGCCCUGAGAGACAGGAGCUGGAGCUUUUUACAGUCGUCAAGUUGGACUGGGAUUCUUGUUGAAUUACUUGAGGAGAAAUUUAGCCAGCAGUUCUGGACAGUUUAAUUUCUCAUUUGCAAAUCAUAAUGCUGGAAAGAAAGCAUAAAAUAUGAACAAGGUUUAUUUAUUUUUUACAUCCAUUUUGAUCUCCCAGAAAGUGUUGCCCAUCAGACCCCAUGUUCUCCAUCAGAAAAAAAAAAAAGAGAAAAUUUUAAACAUAAUCACAAACUUUAGUUUCAUGGCUGGGUUUCAUAAACACACACUCAUGGCAUUUAGAUGGAAAAAUGAUUUCAGCUUUCAUCCCCAAAUCUAAAAGGAAAAUAUUUUAUUUUUAAAGUGUUUCAAUCCAAAGAACUCAAGCACUCUAUAAACAUUACUGAAUAGAAUUUUGUAGCUUUCCAGUGAAGUAUGAACUGUGCCUUCACUGAUCCUAUAAAUAGAAAAUGAGAAAAGGCAAGGGUCAUUUACUCAAAUGAUGGAUAGAAUUUUAUAAUUAAGGAAUUUGUUUUGGACUUAAUGUCAUUUCAUGACCACCUAACAAAUGUGAAACUAUGCUCCUGCUUAAAUGGUGGGAUAUCCCAUUCCCCACUACUGGCUGCUCUUUUCUCAUGUCUCUCCUGUUGAUCCUCUCUCUCACUUGCUUGGCUGCCUGGUGAACUCGCUAAUGUUUCCAGCUGAACCGAACUAGGAAUUAGCUGUCAGUUAGGUUUGGUCCCUGAUCUUGCUGUGAGGCUGUGUGAAAUUCCACCCUUAGAAAAUGUGUGUUAUAUUCCCAGUUGUGCUACAGACUUCUUUUAUGACCUUUAGCAAAUCCCUUAAGCUUUUUCUGUUUCCAGUUGUGAAAUUGAGAUAAUUAUAUUCCACAGCCUUGUGGUAUAUGAAGAUUAAUUUUUUAGUAUGCAUGAGACAUUAAUAAGCUACAGUGAUGAAAGCCAUGGAAGUUCCUAGGUCAAUUUUUUUAUAUGUUUGAAUUUUAUCCAUUCACAGCUACAGGGAUUUCAUUCCCGCUAAAAGCUUCAGUAAGCCAGACACCUCCACAAUGAUAUUAAACUGGAGUUUAAAAGCAACAAUAAUCUUUAGACCAUUGUCAUUUUCACGGUAACAUCUUGGCGGAAAUUGUGAUUCCUGCAGGUUCCGGAAGGCAUUUGUUGCCAAUACAUGAAUGACUAGCGCAUAAAUAUUCUAAAUGUAUGCACAGUUCUGAAUUUUGAAUGUUUGAAAUGUAUAAUCAUUGGAGUGCCAUCAUGAGUUAGGUAAUGAGCCACUGGUGCUUAUGCUGCUGGAAUGAGCUAGUAAUUUUUAAGCUGGUGAUUUUCAAGUUUUGGCUGGUUUGGUAGCAACAGCAAAUUAACUGCAAAAUGUGUUCUCAUCUGAAAAACUGGAUGGGGAGGAUAUGAAGACUUGACUACUUUAACAGUGGCUGCUACCAUCCAAUGCUAGCCAUGCUGUUGAAGAAUGAGCUCUAUCAAGACUGAGGCUGUAUCUGCUCUCCAGCUCUGCAGAGAAGCUCACAGAGGCUCCACUAUUCUUUCAAGUGACGUCUUCAAUAUGCCUGUCAAGGUCACUCACAUUCAGGAUGGUUGAGACAAAGAUGUGAGCAUUUCCUAUACCUGUAGCCUUAAAAAUAGGAUGGUCAAAUAAAAUACUUAAGAAAAAGGUUUGAUGUUCACAUGACAGACAACAGUACUUAAUUCUGUUUCUAAUAGCCACUAAUUGCAGCAGUGUGUAUUGCAGCACUGACUGUACCUACCAGAAAGGCAAUGGAUGUUUCUGUUGCAAGGACCAGUAAUAGCUUGGUGUAUGGUAUAUAAGGAAACAAUUAAAAGGCCCAUUUGAUUAUAUAACAAUAAACUCCAGCAUAAUGGUUACUGGUUCAACAACCAUUAAUAUCCAGAACACAAAAUCUUCCUACCUGAGUUUAAGGAGUAAAUUCACUGAGCAGAACAGCUUGCAAAGGUUUACAAGGAGGGGGAAAGAAAAGAGACAAAGCCACCAAGGCCUUCAACUUAGAGGAAAAAAAAAGUGGUUUAUUUUUUAAGGUCACUAUGCUCUGAAAGACAUUAACCUCAGUGAGACUAAGUAAGAACAUAGCUGACAGUGACUUCUGAAUCACAUAUUUUCCAGUGUAUUAAAUAAGGUAGUUUUUGGAAUGUGAAUUGCCAAGAUUCCCAUGUCUUCUGUGUGAGCAGAAACUAACUUAAGCUGCAACCUUUGAUGAAAACAAGCACACUAGGGGCAAUAACAGGCACAUUACCUAUUAACUAUACAUUAAUUAGAAGAGAAAAGGAAGCUGAAAGCAUUUAGACCCCUCCCACCAGCACCAGCUGCUGUUGUGUCAGCCAUCAUAUCUCAUGAUGUCGUUUAAAGCACAGCUGUACCUCACUGCUACCAAAUUAGAGGCUUUCAAACUUUACAUACCUAAUUGCAGAGAGCUGUGCUACACCAUGUGAUGGUCAUAACUGUAAUAUUAGACCAUGCUGGAGGAGAGAGAGGAUGGUUUUACUUCACUUGUUUCUCGGAGGCAGAAGUGAUAGGAGAGUAAAUAGAUCCUGCUCGCUCUGGUUUAGUGCUACCUCUUGUGCAUGCUACUAGUGCAUGUAUCAUUGCUCAUGAACCCAGCCCUUGUGCUUGCCUUUGACUUUAUAUAGGUACAUUUAUAUUCAAAGAUAAUUAAUUGGUCUGAAAUGUUAUUGUAAGUACCAAUGUUAUUCUUGUCUAAAUUCUUCAAAUCUAGAAAUGAAGUCUGAGUUACUUUGCUUUAAACUAUUUUUUUUCCCCUCUAUCUGUAGAGGGUACUGCAGGGAACUAUCAAAAGGUCUGACUAUUAGCUUAACUCUUCCCCCAUGGUGGCCUACAAAUACUGCCAGUUUUGAUUGCAGCCUGGCUAUGUAAAACCUUUUUUAACUUUGGAAUAAAUUAUUUGGUGACAGGACUCGAGUUGGACCAAAGGUUGGACUCAAUGAUCUCUGAAGUCUUUCCUAACCCAGUUGAUUCCGUGAUUCUGUGACUCGGUGACUCAGACAAUCUCUUGAAGUCCAAUGUAUUCAAGCACUAGGCAAUGCCAAACCAUGUUCAGAUUGGACCGUUCUCAACUGUUUUCAAUUUGGAGAACAGCAAUUUUAAGUGAGUCCUUGCUCCUACUCUGGAAUUUCAAAAAUGUGCAGAUGACCGUUCUUUUCAGCAUCUGAAAAAACUUGUGGAAGAACUAUAUUGCCUGUAAUGCUUUGAACAGCAGAGCCUUCAGUACUGCAGGGCUUUUCUCCGAUGUCUGCAGCAGGGGACCUGCUUUUCAAAGGCAGUGUGGCCUACAGGCACAGACCACCCGCUUCAAGGUCUUGCCGUCACUGUCUUUUCUCUUACCUGACUCUGAGGCUCUGAUAUUUUUCUUGAGUUGUACCCUGAACGCACAGAACAUUUCCCAGAAGUCCCUCUAUUUAUCAAAUUGCUAUCCUAGAAAGUUCUUCCUGCAAAAGCUGCAGGUGCCUUCUAGAAAUUCCCAAGGUUGUAGGAUUAGUGGGACAAAUUGGGACAAUGAUCAGGACAAAAAUUACAGAAAUGGUAUCAGAUGUAAACCAGCAGUAUAGAUAAUUAUAUUGCAGGAGCAUCACAGAAAUUCAUGGCUCAAGAACUAAAACCGUCACCUACCCCCUUACCACAACCAAUGAAAACUGAGUACAGAUGGAGAAGAUGGCUAUUUUCCUUCAAUAGUGAGUAACCCAUUUUCCUAUGCUGAUUGAUUUGGCCUGUGCUGUUGCUAUCUUACUAAUUUUUUUUUCCAUGCUAUUGCCAGUAGAAAGGUCUUCUCUACUAAUAACAAGUUUGUGUAGUCUUGGCAUUAAGCUUGGUAUUGAAUGACAGUCUAAUACUUACUCUUCCAAGUCUUGCUGACCUUUAGUUUUGUGGCAGAUAAUUUCUACUGUGUGUAUAUGAAAACAUUUUAAUCACCUAGUCUCUAAAAACUAGACUGAGAGGAAUUGGUUUAUCAUGGUUUAUCAUGAAAGCAUGCAGUAUUUUUUCUACUACUAGUAGCCUCUGUACUGAGCUUAACUGUUUCAUGUGAGAAAACGGAAGUUUAGUGCACAAAUAACUCCCUGUUUGCAAGUUGCUAAUACACCUUCUGCUGAAACGUUAAGUGCUUGUGAGUUUAUGCUCCACUCAGCUUUCUCAGCAG